rnacentral:misc_RNA from 1 species
GGACUCUUGCAAGUGAUCCCAAUACUCAGGUUCUAUCUCUGUCUCUUUCAUCAAAUCCGCCAUCUAGAGGUAAUGUAACUCAGUUUGGAGAUGGAUAUGAAUCUGAAAAUUUGCAAUCAAAGUCUAAUGUUCUCAAAGAACCUCAUCAAGAUUCAAAAUUUUUCAAGUCAAAUUAUUUGUGUCCAAUGCCAAAGCCGGCAGCAAUUAUCAGUAGAGGUAGUGGAAAAUCGCUUAAUGAUUCAGUGGGUGCGUCUAAUUAUAAUGUUCUUCGAAAUACUGGUCCUCUUGGGCCUUUUACUGGAUAUGCAACAAUUCUAACGAGUUCUAAAUUCUUAAAGCCAGCGCAACUGCUGUUAAAUGAGUUCUGUAGUGCAUCAGGUUCAAAACUUACAAAAGCUGGUGAGGAGGGUCGGAGGAUAUCUGAAGCUGAUGCAGAGGCUGGGGCUAAAGGCAAUAACAAUAGUUCCAGUGUCUCAUCAACAACAUUCUAUGGAUCCAAUGAAGCAAGUGGUGAUGUUGCAGGUGCAAGAAGUUCUUGCGAAUCCUACAGGCCGGAGUACCAGCAAAAGAAGGCAAAGCUCCUAUAUUUGCAGGAGGAGGUGUGCAGAAGGUAUAAGCAAUACCACCAGCAGAUGCAGAUGGUGGCUUCAUCCUUUGAAUCAGUUGCAGGCCUCAGUGCUGCUACCCCUUACCUUUCUUUGGCUCUCAAGACAAUAUCAAGGAAUUUUAGGUCCCUAAAACAUGCUAUAUCAGAUCAGCUCAAGCAUGUAACAAAGUCCCUAGGGGAAGAUUUGUUGUCCCCAAAUACAGGUGCUAGCAGUAGCAAAGGUGAUAUGAGUACAUCAAGGCUGAGAUUCAUGGAUCAAGGCUUUCAGAGGAACAAAUCUGGUGGGGCU